AUACGGAGGGUGCAAGCGUUAAUCGGAAUUACUGGGCGUAAAGCGCGCGUAGGCGGAUUGUUAAGUCUCAUGUGAAAGCCCUGGGCUCAACCUGGGAACUGCAUGGGAUACUGGCAGUCUAGAAUACAGUAGAGGGUAGUGGAAUUUCAGGUGUAGCGGUGAAAUGCGUAGAGAUCUGAAGGAACAUCAGUGGCGAAGGCGACUACCUGGACUGAUAUUGACGCUGAGGUGCGAAAGCGUGGGGAGCAAACGGGAUUAGAAACCCUAGUAGUCC
rnacentral:rRNA from 1 species